rnacentral:rRNA from 1 species
UACGUAGGGUGCGAGCGUUGUCCGGAAUUACUGGGCGUAAAGAGCUCGUAGGUGGUUUGUCGCGUUGUCCGUGAAAACUCACAACUCAAUUGUGGGCGUGCGGGCGAUACGGGCAGACUGGAGUACUGCAGGGGAGACUGGAAUUCCUGGUGUAGCGGUGGAAUGCGCAGAUAUCAGGAGGAACACCGGUGGCGAAGGCGGGAUCUCUGGGCCUUACCUGACGCUGAGGAGCGAAAGCGUGGGGAGCGAACAGG